AGUGAACGCUGGCGGUAGGCCUAACACAUGCAAGUCGAACGGCAGCACAGUAAGAGCUUGCUCUUACGGGUGGCGAGUGGCGGACGGGUGAGGAAUACAUCGGAAUCUACUUUUUCGUGGGGGAUAACGUAGGGAAACUUACGCUAAUACCGCAUACGACCUACGGGUGAAAGCAGGGGAUCUUCGGACCUUGCGCGAUUGAAUGAGCCGAUGUCGGAUUAGCUAGUUGGCGGGGUAAAGGCCCACCAAGGCGACGAUCCGUAGCUGGUCUGAGAGGAUGAUCAGCCACACUGGAACUGAGACACGGUCCAGACUCCUACGGGAGGCAGCAGUGGGGAAUAUUGGACAAUGGGGGCAAGCCUGAUACAGCCAUACCGCGUGGGUGAAGAAGGCCUUCGGGUUUUAAAGCCCUUUUGUUGGGAAAGAAAAGCAGCAGGUUAAUACCCCGCUGUUCUGACGGUACCCAAAGAAUAAGCACCGGCUAACUUCGUG
rnacentral:rRNA from 1 species